AGCAGGCUGAACAGCCGCGGGCAUAUUGCGAAAGCACAUGUCCGAGGAAAGUCCGGGCUCCACAGGGCAGGAAUAACGGCUAACGGCCGCCGGGGGCAACCCCAGGGAAAGUGCAACAGAGAUAUACCGCCUGCUAGGAGCAGGUAAGGGUGGAAAGGCGAGGUAAGAGCUCACCGGCGUCAGGGGAACCUGACGGCCCUGCAAACCCUAUUCGGAGCAACACCGUGGAAAGACGCAUGCGCCGGCCCGGCGCGUCUUUAGGAGGUGGCAUUGAGCGCAGGCGGCAACGCCGCGCCAAGAUAGAUGGCUGUUCACGACAGAACCCGGCUUACAGGCCUGGUCG
rnacentral:RNase_P_RNA from 1 species